CAGGCCUCAUUUCGUCACCGCUGGCCUAGUUACCGCAGAAGGAAUGCACAGCUCUACACUGCAAACUCUGUCAUGGUCACCAUCUUGGAUUUUGUCAUUCCACCUCUCAGAUCCAUGUUAUUUGUGCAGUGGAAAAUGCCAGAUUCGCGAUUCUAUUACUGUAAAUUUCACCAUAGCUUUAUUUUCUAUCAAGUUAUUGUGAAAAGUCGUGUUAAACUCGGAAUGAUUACGGAAAAUUUCGCUGUGUUGUACAUUAGCGUCGCGUUGAGACCCGUGUAAACUUCAAACUUGCAGUCAAUCAAGCCUCAAGACCUUAUUUGUGACCUGAACACUCAAGAAUGAGCUAAAGGUGGUGAUUGCAGAAAAAUCUGAGUUUCUUAGGCCAUACGUCUUAACACAGUGAAAGCUUCAUGUGAUGGAGGAAAAGGACAAAGAUUAGACCCUUUAAAUGAACCCAGUGAUAAGUCCUUUGUUAACAAUGUCACAAACCAGUAGAGUAAUACUUGUAGGUAGGUGUGGUUAAUAAUGCAACAAAUGAUUGUUUUUUAUUUAAGUAAAUGCCAUUUAUAUAAUCUAACAGUGUUAUAAUCUAACAGGCUUAGUCAGGAGUCCUUCAAUACAUUGUUUGUACCAUUGACCUAUUUCUGCAAAUAACCUUUCCAUAGACAGUUUGUUUUUAGGAUAAUAGAAGGAGCCCACUGUUACAAUGAGUGUAAAUUACCAAUUCUAGGAGAUGUCUGGUUCUCAGAUUUUGGUACCACAAUUCGUUUGCACAAAUGAUUGGCUCCUGCUAUUACUCUUCUAAUUUUGCUAGAAAUUCAAAUUUUAAUUUUGGAUUAAAUAUGGGUGCAUUGCAGGGCUGGAAAUUGCAGCGGUAUCAGUUGCAUUUGUAACUUUUGCCAUUUGCAACUUAUUUCACAGUUAACAUGUUACUAAUAGUCUGUAAAAUAGAAUCACUGUGCAACUACAUCAACCAGGCCAUGUUUAGAAGUUAACAAAUCAGAAGCAAUUAUAAAACAAGAGAUCCAAAACUUCCUUGCACAAGAAGCAUAGAAAAAUUAUGUUUGCAAAAUAAAUCUCAUAAAAAUGGAAAGCAAAAAUUUCAAAAUGUCAAAUUAUUUAGUAUUCAGGGGCGGUAAGGGUUAUUUUCGUGAUCCGUGAACAGCAUUUUUUGUUAAUCGUGAAAAUACAAAUUGAAAUUCGUGAUCCGUGAUUGCUUCCUUCGCCAUGAUUCGUAUAUGGCGAAAUUUAAUCAGCGUGAAUCAUGAUCUGUGCUCUCCAUUGUUUGAAGCAGUUUAUCGUGAAACGUGAUUUAUGUGGCUAAAUGCAAUUUAGCCGAAGUUAAAACAGAGACGGUGGGACCCAUGCGCACCCAGGGUCUCUGGCAGUCCCCUCCCCGCUCAGUUUGCCCCUAGGGACAAGCGGAGAACGCCUAUGUGCAUGUGAUCCCCACGAGGGGUUAGUCGUUAGCGCGUCCCGGUCGUGGAAUCGGCGCCUCAAGCGGCCGGCCCGAUUCAAGCGUACAUGACCAAGCUAUGGGGCUGUUGCUAGCCUGGCCGUUGCUUAUACUCAGACCCGCGCGGGUCGGCUGCUAGCGGUCCACGGUCAUGGGGUCAACACCAUGUCGGGCUGGUGUGACUCAAGCGUACAUGACUGGACUAUUGGUUGCAUCGGGUGUUUAUUUUGAAGCAGCAGUUAUUUGGGAGCUCAGAAAUGCUUGAUAGCAAUGUAGUAGUGGCAGCUAUUAAUGUGUAAUCGGAUAAUUUCCGCACUCUACUUAAAUUUCAAAAUUCAACAUGGCGACGAUUCACCCUCCCUGGUCUUAGAAGACAAUAAAGAGCAAAACUCUUUGCUUGUUUUGUAUUCCAGGUUAAUGAGAAUUCUUUAAUGAAUCUAUCCAUACCGGAAUUCAAGCACUAGAUAGUUAAUUUUACGAUUGUCAACCUUUAUGAAAUAUAUUUUUGUAACGAAAGUUUAAGUUUGUAAAAUAA